AGAGUUUGAUCAUGGCUCAGAAUCAACGCUGGCGGCGUGCCUCAGACAUGCAAGUCGAACGAGAAAGUCCCCUUCGGGGGAUAAGUAAAGUGGCGUCCGGGUGAGUAACGCGUAGGUAAUCUACCUUCGGGUGGGGAAUAACCCAGGGAAACUUGGGCUAACACCGCAUAAUGCAGCGGCACCACAUGGUGACAGUUGUUAAAGCGGGGGAUUUUAGGACCUCGCGCCUGAAGAGGAGCCUGCGGCGGAUUAGCUAGUUGGUAAGGUAACGGCUUACCAAGGCACCGAUCCGUAGCCGGCCUGAGAGGGCGGUCGGCCACACUGACACUGACAUACGGGUCAGACUCCUACGGGAGGCAGCAGUCGGGAAUUUUGGGCAAUGGGCGAAAGCCUGACCCAGCAACGCCGCGUGAAGGAUGAAAUCCCUCGGGAUGUAAACUUCGCAAGAAUGGGAAGAAUUAGCGAGCGCUAAUACCGCUCGUGAUGACGGUACCAUUUGUAAGCUCCGGCUAACUCCGUGCCAGCAGCCGCGGUAAUACGGGGGGAGCAAGCGUUGUUCGGAUUUACUGGGCGUAAAGGGCGCGUAGGCGGUCAGCACAAGUCAGUUGUGAAAUCUCCGGGCUUAACUCGGAAAGGUCAACUGAUACUGUGCGACUAGAGUGCGGAAGGGGCAACUGGAAUUCUCGGUGUAGCGGUGAAAUGCGUAGAUAUCGAGAGGAACACCUGCGGCGAAGGCGGGUUGCUGGGCCGACACUGACGCUGAUGCGCGAAAGCCAGGGGAGCGAACGGGAUUAGAUACCCUAGUAGUCC
rnacentral:rRNA from 1 species